GAUGAACGCUAGCGACAGGCUUAACACAUGCAAGUCGAGGGGCAGCAUGAAGUAGCAAUACUGAGAUGGCGACCGGCGCACGGGUGCGUAACGCGUAUCCAACCUUCCCGUUACUCUCGGAUAGCCUUCCGAAAGGGAGAUUAAUACGAGAUGGUGUUGAAAUUCCGCAUGUUAUUUCAACUAAAGAUUCAUCGGUAACGGAUGGGGAUGCGUGACAUUAGGUAGAUGGCGGGGUAACGCCCACAUGCCUACGAUGUCUAGGGGUUCUGAGAGGAAGGUCCCCCACACUGGAACUGAGACACGGUCCAGACUCCUACGGGAGGCAGCAGUGAGGAAUAUUGGUCAAUGGUCGG
rnacentral:rRNA from 1 species